GUCUUAAUAGUAUAAUUUAUUACUCUGGUCUUGUAAACCAGAAAUGAAGAAAUUCUCUUCUUAAGACA
rnacentral:tRNA from 2 species